CCGUAGCCCUGAUUGCAGCGGCAUCCUUUUACGAAGCAUAGCGGAGUAAAAGAUACAGCGAAAAGCAGGUUCCCGG
rnacentral:sRNA from 1 species